rnacentral:tRNA from 1 species
CUGUCGGUGGUUCGGGCAGAGCAACGAUGAUGUUGAUGACAUCACCCAAGAGACUUUUCUUCGUUCAUAUCGAGGUCUGCAGUC